GUGACCUGUUUUCACCCACCAAUCAAUCACUCUCCUCAAUUCUCUCACCAAAUUAGAUUUUUUUUUCUUCUCCUUAACCAAUCAGAAAGCUCUCUCUCUCUCUCUCUCUCUCUCUCUCUCUCAUCUUCUCCUUCCCUCUCUAUCCCUAGACCCUCUCCUCUCAGCAACACACAUACACCACCACCAAACUUCACAGAUUGAGCUUUGCAACCACCACCAUCGUGUUCCUCUCGUUCCCACGAACACAUCCCUAUCAACCGAUCACAAAAUGGACGAGUUUUGAGUGUUCAACUUGGAAGCUCUGACUCAGAGGUGAUUUUCUCCACGAUUUUCCAUUCGAGUUGCACAUUUUUAGAAGGUUUGGAAGCAUCUAGGCGACUCCCCGAGGCCACUAGCCUAGUUUUGAAGUGGAGCCGACGAGGAAAACCACGGGUUUCAGACAACAAAAGUAAGGCCGAGAGUCUAUAGUCCAUUUUGAUCCAUUUCCCAUCCAUUUUUGGACUUUUGGAAGAAUCCAGCCAAAUUCUUCAGUUUCCAACGAACCAGACCGUGGUAGCGGCGGCGGCGGCGGACGGCAGUGAUAGCGGCGGAGGUCCACCGAAGAAGAAGACAGAAUAUUCCAUCAAACUUAACGGAAUAUUCUGACGCCGUUAAAGGUGAGACUUAUCUCGAGGAUGUACGAGGACAAGUGAGGCUAGGAGGCUAUGAUCCAUCGACGUAUCAGUCCUAAAUAGCUGAAUUACUCUGUGGCGUACUAGGAUUAGCAGGCGAUUAUGACAUACCCAUAAUAAAUGUAGGAAUUAUCUCCGGUUGUGUAUUAAGUACUAACUAGUUUUGACUGCGCACUCACUUUAUUAGUUUAAAUAAGUUCUAGCUUAGGUUUAAUUUAUUCACAUUUUUACAUCAAUUACUUUUUUGGUUACGUCACCUUCAGGUGAUGGCUAGCAUGCCUCGACUCCGGUCGGGGUGUGUCAAUUUGGUAUCAGAGCAUAUUUUUGGUAGUCCUGCAUUCUUCGUAUGUGCUAUAGGUUCUAAUCAUUUUUUAUCUCUUAUGUCAAAAUCAUGCCACCUUGUAGAGCGUCACCUAUCCCUUCUAAGACUAAUUUUCUCAAUUUUGGGCAACUAGUGAGGCUAUCGCCAACGCCAUUCAGUCCACACUUCGUCCUCCCUAGAGGACCGCCUUAGAGAUUGUAUCCCAUCUUCAGAUAAAUAAUUUCUUUGGCAAUGAAGGACUUGAGAAAUCUGAGGUUUGGAUCGACCAUGUUGAGAAGACUUUUUUAGUUAUGCAGUGACAAGGGAAUUUUCCAGAGGAGAGAUUUAUUGAGAUAACGACUUGGUUUUUCCGUCUGGGAGAUAGAUCAUGGUGGGCUCAGGAGUCACGCUCGUUGUCUGCUCAAGAUGCCACGAAUUGGGAUGUUUUCAGAUGCCUAUUUGAGGCUAGAUUCACACCUACGGAGUACAAGGAUUGAAAGAAAGAAGAAUUCACAGAGCUGGAGCAAGGUAAAAUGUCAGUCACAGUAACAUCGAAAGUUCACUAACUCAUCUUGUUAUUGUCCUGAGAUCGCUGAGAAUCCUAAAGAGAUGCUCCGUUAUUUUAAGAAGGGGACUAGUAAGCGACUGCGUUAUUUGGCAACUUCUACUCCCUGCUCUACCUACCAAGAAUUCUUUGAGGUUCUGCUUCGUGUUGAAGAUUCCGAGAAUGCUUUUGAUGAUGACGAAUAAUAAUGCUCAUAUGAAUAAUAACAUAGGGCAGUCAUCUUUUGGCACUUGAAAGAUUCAUAAUUUCAAGAGAAGUGGUAAUAGUUCUAGAUCAUUAAGCGGUGGUUCAAGUUCCAAUACAAUGCGAAGGGGCGGUAAGUCCACAAGCAGUUCCACUUUCAGAAUAAGAGGAACCCUAGAAAUUUUGACGCUCCGCUAUGUCGUAGAUGCAAUAACCGUCAUUUUGGUGAGUGUAAAGAGGAAAUAAUGAGUGCUAUACUUGUGUUCAGAUGGGGCACAUAGCUAAUCAAUGCCCUCAAAAUCAGAAACUUCAUCCUCCUACUCUACCACCUGCAGUUCCUCUCCAGGAGAUUUAGGGUAAUAUACCCCAAUACCAGGGAGGAGUAUAUCAGUACCCACCUGAGGUUUCCUAUUACCAGGGAAACUAUCCACAGUACUAAGGGUUAUACGCCGUAUCAGGGAGGCGGAGCGCAAUGGUACGCUGGAGGACAGUCCUAGAAUCUUGAUGGAGCCUCUAGCAGUGGCAGUUCGACCAAGCAAACUAAUCAAACCAACCAGGGUCGAGGCAAUCAUAGAUGCGGCAACCAGGGAAACAGGGGUCAUGAAGGCCAAUAACAAGCAUAUGGUUGUGUCAAUCACAUUACCUUGCAGGAUGCUCAGGGUAACCCUGACUUGAUUAUAGGUACGUUGAAUGUUCUUGGCCAUUUUGCUAGAAUCUUAAUUGACUCGGGUGCUACAUAUUCUGUCAUUUCCUAUACAUUUGCUUAAAAGAUUCAACCUCACCCCACUCCCCUCAGUUAUGUCGGAGUUCUCGAUGCUUAGAGGUGAAGUUUGUUAUGUUAGUUAGGAGUAUCGAGGAUGUCCCAUUCUUAUCGAGGAUGUCAUAAUGCCAGUUAAUUUUGUUCCCUUGAGCAUCGUUGAUUUCGAUGUUAUCUUGGGCAUGGAUUUGUUGGAUUACAAUCGUGCCAUGUUGAAUUGUCACCAAAAGAUUGUUACCUUCCAUCGACCGGGCAUGCCUAUGGUAACUUUUAUCGAUGAAUGUGGCGGUCUGAAACAUAGAGUUAUCUUUGCCAUGAAGGUGAAGCAGAUGUUAAGGAAGGGUUGUCAAGGCUACUUGGCUCAUGUAAUGGUAACUGAAGAUACUUUUGCUCAUGUGGAAAACGUUCGGGUAGUCAGACACUUUCACGAUGAUUUUCCCUGCGAUUUACUUAGCCUACCACGGGAUUGUAAGGUAGAGUUUACUAUCGACCUAAUCCCAGGUACCGGCCCUAUUUCUUUAACUCCUUAUCGUAUAGUUCCUGUGGAGUUGAGGGAAUUAAAAACCCAGUUGUAAGAACUUGUUGAUAAGGGUUUUAUUCAGCCAAGCAGUUCCUCUUGGGGAGCUCCAGUCUUGUUUGUAAGGAAGAAAGAUAGGACGUUGAUGCUAUGUAUUGAUUACAAACAGUUGAAUCAGGUGAUGAUUAAAAACCAUUAUUCGUUGCCUCAUAUCGAUGAUCUUUUUUGUCAGCUUCGUGGUGCUUGUGUUUUCUCAAAAAUCGAUCUAAGGUCUGGCUAUUAUCAAUUGAAGAUCAGAAGUGAUGAUGUUCCAAAAACAGCCUUAUGAACUCGAUAUGGUCAUUAUGAGUUUCUCAUGAUGCCAUUCGGGUUGACUAAUGCUUCAGCAGCUUUUAUGGACCUGAUGAAUCGGGUAUUUCAUCCAUACUUCGACAAGUUCAUAAUUGUUUUCAUCGAUGACAUUCUGGUGUAUUCUAAGAGCGAGGCUGACCAUGCUAGACAUUUACAUUUGGUUUUGAAGAAGCUAAGGGAGAAUUAACUAUAUGCCAAAUUUAGUAAGUGCCAGUUAUGGCUGGAUCAUGUGUUUUUCUUGGGACAUGUGAUAUUAGUUCAGGGUGUUCUCAUGGAUCCCCAGAAAGUAACAGUAGUGGAAAACUAGGAGCAACCUUAGACUGUCACUGAAGUACAGAGUUUUCUUGGUCUUGUUGGCUACUGUCGACGGUUUGUGAAAGAAUUCUUAGUCAUAGCCCUGCCUCUAACAAGGUUGCCCAGGAAAAAAGUUAAUUUUGAAUGGAGUGAUGUCUAUGAACGGAGUUUUCAAUAAUUGAAGUACUGUCUCACUUGUGCACCUAUUUUCACACUUCUCGAUGAUAGUGGGAAUUUCGAGAUCUAUAAUGACGCUUCUUUGAAUGGUCUGGGUUGUGUGUUGAUGCAGCAUGGAAAGGUGAUUGUGUAUGCUUCACGAUAAUUAAAACCCCAUGAGAUGAAUUAUCCUACUCAUGAUCUUGAAUUGGCAGCUAUUAUUUUCGCUUUGAAAAUUUGGUGACACUAUAUUAUGGGGAAACGUGUCGAAUCUUCACUGACCACAAAAGCCUCAAGUAUAUCUUUACUCAGAAAGAACUUAAUCUUUGGUAGCGUAGAUGGAUGGAAUUGAUCAGCGAUUAUGAAUGCACUAUCGAGUAUCACCAUGGUCAUGCAAAUACUGUAGCAGAUGCUCUUAGUAGGAAAUCUUAUGGUCGACUCAAUGCUUUUUAUACAUGUCAUGUUCCUCUUCUAACCAACCUAAGAUCUACUGGAACCACUUUGGGAGUAGGUCACCAUGGAGCUCUACUUGCCAACUUUCAAGUUAGACCAGUUUUAUUGGAUCCUGUUCUCGAGGCUCAGACGAAUGACUCCGAAUCCCAGGAGUUAAAGCAAGUGAUGUUAAACCACAAUAGAGGAGAUCUAAGGAUUCGAAGACUUGAUGGUAUGCUCCUGCAAGGCGAUCAAAUGUAUG